UGGAGUCCAAUCGCAACACGUUGUCGUCUUUGUAUGCUGUUUGACCUGUCGGUAAUUUGAGCCUGCAAUAACCAGGGUGUGUAUCAGAGGAGUCUGUGUAUACGUGUGUUGGCAAUUGUUCGUCAUCUGGUUGCACGCAUCACAUCGAGGACCUUUCAAAUGGAACAGAAUGUCAUCUGUGUAUAAGAGUCGGCCGUCAGGAUGUGUGUAUUUCAUCAAAGUUUUAGGUAUCAGAUUUUUCAUUAUAAACGAUAAAUGAGCUAAUGGAAUCCCUGUGAGCGGGUCAAUAUUCAUUGUGUCCUCAACAAAACAUUGGAAAGAUUCUGAAAAUAGUAUAUAUGUCUUAAAUUUCUUUGAAAUGUAUGAUCGUAAUUGCACUGGAUAUAUACGUAAUAAAUUUUCUACCAAAUUAC